UACGGAGGAUGCAGGCGUUAUCCGGAAUCAUUGGGCGUAAAGCGUCCGUAGGUGGCUGUUCAAGUCUGCGGUCAAAGCACAAGGCUUAACCUUGUAAAGGCCGUGGAAACUGAAGAGGCUAGAGUGCGGUAGGGGUAGAGGGAAUUCCCAGUGUAGCGGUGAAAUGCGUAGAGAUCCGGAAGAACACCGGUGGCGAAGGCGGCCUGCUGGGCUAUGGCUGACACUGAGGCGCGACAGCGUGGGGAGCAAACAGG
rnacentral:rRNA from 1 species